CGACUGCUAAUACCGCAUGACGCAUGACCGGGGCAUCCCGGACAUGCCAAAGAUUUAUCGCUGAAAGAUGGCCUCGCGUCCGAUUAGAUAGUUGGCGGGGCAACGGGCCCCACCCAAGUCGACGAUCGGUAGCCGGACUGAGAGGUUGGCCGGCCACAUUGGGACUGAGAUACGGCCCAGACUCCUACGGGAGGCAGCAGUGGGGAAUAUUGGGCAAUGGACGCAAGUCUGACCCAGCAACGCCGCGUGAAGGAAGAAGGCUUUCGGGGUUGUAAACUUCUUUGACAGGGGAAGAGCAGAAGACGGUACCCUGAUAACAAGCCACGGCUAACUACGUGCC
rnacentral:rRNA from 1 species